rnacentral:rRNA from 1 species
AUUGAACGCUGGCGGCAGGCCUAACACAUGCAAGUCGAACGAGUGGCGGACGGGUGAGUAAUGUCUGGGAAACUGCCUGAUGGAGGGGGAUAACUACUGGAAACGGUAGCUAAUACCGCAUACCAUCAGAUGUGCCCAGUUGGGAUUAGCUCGUGGGUGGGGUAACGGCUCACCAAGGCGACGAUCCCGAGCUGGUCUGAGAGGAUGACCAGACACUGUGGACCUGAGACGCCGUCGAGACUCCUAGGGGGCGCAGCAGUGGAGAAUAUUGCACAAUGGGGGCAAGCCUGAUGCAGCCGUGCCGCGUGUAUGAAGAGGGCCUUGGGGUUGUAAAGUACUUUCAGCGGGGAGGCGUUACCCGCAAAAGAAGCACCGGCUAACUCCGUGCCAGCAGCCGCGUAAUUC